UACGGAGGGGGCUAGCGUUGUUCGGAAUUACUGGGCGUAAAGCGCGCGUAGGCGGAUUUGUAAGUCAGGGGUGAAAUCCCGGGGCUCAACCUCGGAACUGCCUUUGAUACUGCAAAUCUCGAGUCCGGAAGAGGUGAGUGGAAUUCCUAGUGUAGAGGUGAAAUUCGUAGAUAUUAGGAAGAACACCAGUGGCGAAGGCGGCUCACUGGUCCGGUACUGACGCUGAGGCGCGAAAGCGUGGGGAGCAAACAGG
rnacentral:rRNA from 1 species